GAUGAACGCUAGCGGGAGGCCUAACACAUGCAAGCCGAGCGGUAUUUGUUCUUCGGAACAGAGAGAGCGGCGCACGGGUGCGGAACACGUGUGCAACCUGCCUUUAUCUGGGGGAUAGCCUUUCGAAAGGAAGAUUAAUACCCCAUAAUAUAUUGAGUGGCAUCAUUUGAUAUUGAAAACUCCGGUGGAUAGAGAUGGGCACGCGCAAGAUUAGAUAGUUGGUGAGGUAACGGCUCACCAAGUCAAUGAUCUUUAGGGGGCCUGAGAGGGUGAUCCCCCACACCGGUACGGAGACACGGACCAGACUCCUACGGGAGGCAGCAGUGAGGAAUAUUGAACAAUGGGUUAGCGCCUGAUCCAGCCAUCCCGCGUGAAGGACGACGGCCCUAUGGGUUGUAAACUUCUUUUGGAUAGGGAUAAACCUACUCUCGUGAGAGUAGCUGAAGGUACUAUACGAAUAAGCACCGGCUAACUCCGUG
rnacentral:rRNA from 1 species